rnacentral:tRNA from 1 species
GGGGCGGUAGCUCAAUGGGAGAGCACACGACUGAAGAUCGUGGUGUUGGGGGUUCGAUUCCCUCUCGCCCCG